rnacentral:rRNA from 1 species
CCCAGAAGCGGGGGAUAACACCUGGAAACAGAUGCUAAUACCGCAUAACAACUUGGACCGCAUGGUCCGAGUUUGAAAGAUGGCUUCGGCUAUCACUUUUGGAUGGUCCCGCGGCGUAUUAGCUAGAUGGUGAGGUAACGGCUCACCAUGGCAAUGAUACGUAGCCGACCUGAGAGGGUAAUCGGCCACAUUGGGACUGAGACACGGCCCAAACUCCUACGGGAGGCAGCAGUAGGGAAUCUUCCACAAUGGACGAAAGUCUGAUGGAGCAACGCCGCGUGAGUGAAGAAGGGUUUCGGCUCGUAAAACUCUGUUGUUAAAGAAGAACAUAUCUGAGAGUAACUGUUCAGGUAUUGACGGUAUUUAACCAGAAAGCCACGGCUAACUACGUGCCAGCAGCCGCGGUAAUACGUAGGUGGCAAGCGUUGUCCGGAUUUAUUGGGCGUAAAGCGAGCGCAGGCGGUUUUUUAAGUCUGAUGUGAAAGCCUUCGGCUCAACCGAAGAAGUGCAUCGGAAACUGGGAAACUUGAGUGC